GGGGGUCUUUAUUUUACAGUGUCAAAGCAAUUUGACUAAAAUCAACAGGAAAUGCAAGUUUUAGUAGGUUUUAGUUUAUAUAUAUAUAUAUAUAUAUAUAUAUAUAUAUAUAUAUAUAUAUAUACAUUUAAGGCUACAAAAUUAACAUUAAGCAUUCAGGUAUAUAUUUUGCAUCAAGUUUGGAUUACUGUGCUUAUUUGCACUGCCAUAGUAUUAGCUUUUUUUUCUUUCUUUUUUUUUAACAGUUCAUCUACAGUUUUAUCAUUUAAACCUAACAAAUCUGUGUAUUUGUGUUAUUGAUCUUAAAAUAAAUGCAACUUUUAUGGUAUUCUAUUCAAUGCAGUGAUAUUAAUAUACGCUUCUAAUACUGUUUGAAGCCAGUGUUUCAUAAUAAUAGAUUAUUCCUUUAAACCAGUCGUAUGGACCGAGUCUUGAUUUUGUCUUGAGGAGUGCAGCUGUGGUCAGGCAGAGGUUAAUGGUUCCGCGCUCUGGCGGCUGGGCAGGCGCGGAGCUGCGGCGCUCUGACGCGGGGAUGGAGAGCUCAGAGAUGCGCUGCUGCUGCUGCUCCGACAGGAUCCCGCGGCCUGCUGCUUUCUCCGCUCUUCUGCGCCGAAGCUUUAAAUCACGGUUCAUCAGGCAUUUCCUGGACUUCCUAGUUUCUUGGCCCAGUCUAGCUGUGAGUACACCUGCUCCGCUCGGAGAUUCAGCUCGCUUUCCCAUGACGGCUGGAGUCAAUUAACGGCUCAGAAAAACCACCGUGUUGAGGUGAAUUUAGAUGCAACUGUCUGCCGAGUGAAGGAAAAGAGCCCAGCGCUGCAGUGACAGGUACAUAUGAACGCUGCCAGAAUCCAACAGUCACACAUUCACGUCCUUGUUGAUUCGUCACAAGCCGAGGCAGAGCUGAGUAAGCUGGCGGACAGCCAUGUUGAAUCAGUGCUUCAUCAUACAGGCGUUAUGCAGUGGAGAUGAAAUGUGGUAUUUUCUGUUCUUUGUGUAGCUGUCUUCACCGUGUGGGUUAGAAACAAGGGGAACGUGUUGUGAAUCACUCAUGGGAUUUGGCCCAGCAUUCCCGUAACGUUGGAAAAUAGGCUUAAAAAUGCUGUUUUUGGCAUGGAGCAGCAGGUACGUUAAUGCACUGUCAAGGACUCAACUUCGCUUAUGUUCUUCUGUCUUAUAUCAAGCACGCUGAGUGUCAUCUGUAAUCUGCGAUGAUGUACAGUAGGAUCUGCAAUCUAUAGUGGAGCAUGUAACAUUUCCGGAUAAGGUCGUCCAUUAGUGUGGUCCCAUAAAAUACCACAAUACAUGGUCAUUCAGCUGCCUGCAUUUUUUUCUUUACAUACUCUUAUAGUAUUUAUUCAUAUUUAGGAUUCACUUUUACUUUUAUAUUUUCAUUUUUAAUUUUUUUCUGUUAGUUUUAUAUUUUUAUUUAGCUACAUAUUUAGUCAUUUUAGUACUUUACCUAGUAAUUUCAGUUUCUUGCCAAGGCAACAUUUCCAAGUUUUUCUUAUAUUUCUCAUCACAUGUGAAUGUCUUCAGCUUUAUUUCAGUUAAAGAAAAAGAUUUUUAAUAAUUACUGGCUAUUUUUUAAAAUAGUUAUACCGGUUUGAGCUGGGAUUGAAAUCUAAAAUGCAAAAAAAAAAAAAAAAAAAAAAUAUCUUAGUGAGUACUUUUGUCUUCUGCAGGAAAAAUGCAGUAAAUAUCCCUAAAACAAUAUUUUCUGUGCAAGUCAAAUUGUGUAAAUUAACACAUUAUUAAUAUUGGGACAUCAUUUUUUUCAGAAAAUAUUUAAUGAAUUGGGUUUAUUUUUCUUGCCAUAUUUGUCACGUUUUCUUUUUUCUGUCUUGCUUUUUUCCCGCAUUUUUUCAAAAAAUGUUUGACUUAAAAUAAAAAUAGUGAUACUCUCA
ensembl:lncRNA